rnacentral:rRNA from 1 species
AUACGGAGGGUGCAAGCGUUAUCCGGAAUCAUUGGGCGUAAAGCGCGCGCAGGCGGUCUUUUAAGUUGGAUGUGAAAGCCUACGGCUCAACCGUAGAACUGCAUCCAAAACUAUUAGACUAGAGUGUGGGAGAGGAAGAUGGAAUUAGUUGUGUAGGGGUAAAAUCCGUAGAGAUAACUAGGAAUACCAAAAGCGAAGGCAAUCUUCUGGAACACUACUGACGCUGAGGCGCGAAAGCGUGGGGAGCAAACAGGAUUAGAUACCCUAGUAGUCC